UACAGAGGGUGCAAGCGUUAAUCGGAAUUACUGGGCGUAAAGCGUGCGUAGACGGUUAUGUAAGUCAGGUGUGAAAGCCCCGGGCUCAACCUUGGAAUUGCAUUUGAGACUGCAUAGCUAGGGUGCGGAAGAGGGAAGCGGAAUUUCCGGUGUAGCGGUGAAAUGCGUAGAUAUCGGAAGGAACAUCAGUGGCGAAAGCGGCUUCCUGGUCCAGCACCGACGUUCAGGCACGAAAGCGUGGGGAGCAAACAGG
rnacentral:rRNA from 1 species